rnacentral:lncRNA from 1 species
GUUUGGUGCAGACGCCAGUCAAAUCACGUUCUGGUAAUCAGUAAUCCCGACGCGCCGAUCUAGACCGUCUUGAUCCCACCGCUAUCAAAAGAGCCCUGUGACACCUGUAUUUAGCACAUUCGUGGUUCGCUUGUUUUGUCAGCUGGCGCUAUAUGAAACGUUUUAAUUUCGUGUUAUUUUUAUAAAAUUCUAUUUGAGAGUCAGCGCGCCGUUCGGUUGCUGCCCUGUGCCAUCAUACCAACUCGCCCAGCUGAGCGACAAGCGGGUUUGAUUUUUGCUGGUUGAUUGCACCAUCGCAGCCUUUCUUCUGACUGCUAAAUGCGGCUAAAUAGCACUUUUGUUAGAGAGACUUGAAGGCCUCUUUGCUUUUGUUAUGUGUGGAUACUCCUCUGGCUACAUGUCGGGAUAUUUCUGAUAUUUCGGCGACCUUUCUUCACGAAGACCUGGCAACCCUGCUUUUGUCAUCCGGGAACUCCGGGAAAUUCGUCCGGCGCAUCAGCAACAGCAACUCGGCUGACGUUAACUUGAAGGAGAAAAGCGUGUGCAGUGGUGGGCGUAAAGCAAGUUGAAAUAGCAGAGAAACGUGCAACCUCUGAAGAGAACAUGUAUUGACCAAAGCAGACUGGUCAUGAAAGAGAAAAGGUGUCUGUGAAAAAGGAAAAAAAUCUGCCAGAAGCACCGCACUCCAUCAAAAAGUGGCUGCCAAAGUCUGUUGACCUGAAUGGAGGCAUGGAGAGGCACUUCACAGACGCAUUCAUAGUGUAGCAGCCCAAUCACUGAUUUCAAGACCCUGGCCAGCCCACCAUCAUUACCUCAUCCCCUGCUGCUGCCUGUGAGGUUCCGGCCAGCCAGUAGUCAUCAGCACCCUGUCCCUGCAGCCCUGGCCAGCCCUAUGCCCAUGGAGCCUUGCUGGGCUCCCCUACUUUUGGCUGUGUUGCUUAAUUAACUACAGUAACUUGAAAAACUGCACUGGAAAAUAAAUGGUCUGGCUUGUACUUUUAUAAAUAAAGUUUUCUAAAAUGUC